AAAUAGGCAAUCCAAACCACGUGACCUCUGGUUGGCACACAAACUAAAGAAGAGGUUAUGUUUGUGUCUAUUUUUCAAUGAUUUUUCAUUGUUUAUCGUCGUAUUUUGGAUUCAUUUGGAUUUCGUUUCCUGUUUUUGUGAACUUUAUAAACUUUACCACAAUGCGAACUGAUUAUUUAAGGAAGGAAAUUAUUAUUGGAAACUCCAGAUGUUGCGAGAAAGAUAUUUAUUGAAGCUGAAAAUAAUUGGGGAUUUAGAUCCAUACGGAAUUCAGUCAGAAUUGGAUUUUACAGUAAAGUGCAGUCCAUCAAGUUACUAUUAUAGAUAUGUAUUUAUACAGAUCUGGUGGAGUCUCACAGUUUCUACUCUAAGCAGCAGAUGAAAGCAUACAAAAGCCUUCAGGCACAUAAAUAUUUUACAGCUGGAUUUGUUUUGAAUGGAGUAAAAAUUGUUAAUGAUUUCCUGAUUUCCAUAUUAUUGUUGGAAAGGUGAAGCAUUUCCAAAAAGCUAAUGCUAAACGACUAAAUGCUUGGGUGGGGUGAUAGCCAGUUCUGAUGACAUAGCAAAUGCACAUUGUAUGCGUAUGGCCGGUAAUAGUGAAGUCUGCAGCCAUAUUGCAGCAAUCCUAUUUUUAGCUGAGUAUGCCCAGAGCAAGACAGACGAAGAAGAACCCAAUGCAUGUACAUAUGUUACAGCUACAUGGUUUGGAGAUAGCAACAUAUGCAUUCUCUGAUGAAAAACUAAUGAGUUUUGAAACUGUUCGGUCAGAGUGCUUGUUGCGCUCACUAAACGAACUGUAAUAUAAGAAGUCUUUGGCAUUGUGUUGCAGCGAUAUGAAAAUGGUUAUUCAUUUUUAAUUAUAAUGUACUUCUUCAUCAUGAGUAAUUGAAUGGUGGGCUACAACAACAUUGUAAGCGACAGAUUGGGUCAAAGUGAGGUUUUAAUGCAAUAUUAUUGUAUAUCCAAUGACCAAUGCGAGCAUCUUUCAAUCAGGCUAAAAACAUUUUACCUUCCCCGAGUUUUUCGUACCGCAAUAUUGGUAUCCGUAUUGUCAUAAAUGACUUGUCAAUAAGUUUUUUCCAUCUCCUGCAUAAUCUUAAUUCUGUCGCUUACAACAUUGUUGUAGCCCACCAUUCAAUUAU